rnacentral:sRNA from 1 species
CAUAAAUAUUUUAUAGUCUUUGUUAUGACUCAUCUCAGUGGUGACUGUAGGCUCAGUUUUGCUGUACAGUUCAUCAACUUCCCAGCAUGCUGUAUAAUGAAUGUUUCACUUACACUGUUAAUUGCCAAACAAUGGUUCCUUCAACCUUUCACCUUUACGUUUCACAACAUUAUCUCCAAUUGCUGGUUUGGUUGCACUUCAAAUUUCAACUGGUAAAAAAUUAAGGAUACAACCAGUGAUGUUCUCUUAUCUUGAAUGCCU